UGAAUUCCGUCCGCUCACGAACCGAGAAAAAGAUAAAUUAAAAUAUGUGCAGAUCAUCCAAUUCAAUUCUUUGAAAUGGUAAAGAAACUUUGGUCUGAAAGAUGUUAUUUUAAAAGAGAACUCCUCCCCCCUUCAAAGGCAUAUCCUGCUUAAAGAAAUGUUCAGUGCAGUUGGAAACGACGUGCAAGUACAAUUAAACUACUGCACUGCUCUUUCGAAAUUGUUUUCAAUGCUCCUUGAACGGUUGACAAUCAACAUAGAGCUGAUAUUGAGACGAAUUAACCAGCUCUUUUUUAAUUAACUGGCCUAUUAUGAGCAAAACAUUUGGGUUCAGCGGAUUACAGGAAAUAUUCUUUCUUGAUAUUCAAAUUACAUUACCACAUACCAGAACAAAAUGGAACGGACGUUUUGAGCAAGAAAUAGCCGAACUCAAGUGAAUUACAGUUCAUUGAAUUUGAUAUUCUGAUCCCGGCGGCUUGUCAAGAAAUAAAAAUUGCAAUCGCAAUGAAAUUUUGAAUCUUUAGACGUUGUUUUUCCUUUCAGCUGAUGUUUCUUUACUUUCAUCGCAUUUGGCUUUGUUUCAUUCUAUUCCGAGGUAAUAAAGCAAGUUUAUAACAAGCUCCCAGCAAUACUCAUUCAAACGCAAAAUAUAACAAACGGGACCGUCCUUAAAGAGAAGCUAAGGCGAAUGUUGAAUAUAUUUCCCGGCAGACAUGAUAACCCAAUUCGUUGGAAAAACACUCACAAUUUUUCCAAACUUUUCAGUCUUUAGGGUUUUUUAGUCAAUCCUUGUUAACUUUCUCGCGUACUUAAAAAAUUCUUAUUUACACCUGGAUGUUUAUUCUUGAAGCCUUGUUGAAGAGGCUACAGCAUCUUAAGCAAAACGUAUGUAAAUUACUAAUUUCAAAUUAGUAAUUGUUCUUAAUAAUCAACAGAAACAACAACUGUAAGUAACCUGAAGAAGCUAAGAAGUCGAGGCGAAAAGAAAGAAGACUUUUCUGAAGAUGGGAAGUGAUGAUUCCUACUCACUCAGGUGAAAGUGGUCGUUGAUGUGAUACCAAAAGUUGCUCCAAAUGCGACUGAGUGGAGUGUCACAUGAACGUCUCUACCACAAGAUUGUCGAGAAAAGAUGGGUUAACAAUAGUUAGUUUCGAUAGUAAAACAUAGAGGAUUGCUCAUGUUUAUCUGUGGAAAAUCAGUGAAAAGUUUUGUUAAGGAUAACAAGAGUAGAUAUUUCCCUGUAUAUACUAGAAAUUUAGUGAUUACUAACCGUAAUUAUGUCACACAUAGCCUCUCAGUAUGUAUUGUAGUACCGAUCGAAAAGUAAACUUUCUGAUGUGAAACGACCCGAGAGAAAAGUUAGGAAACUGUAGAAAUUUUAAAGCUAGUUAAGCUGCCUCGUAGGAACUUAUCAAUUUUUCAGCGUUGUCUACUAAACAAGCUGUAAUUAGGCGCAUUUUAGAUCUUCAUUUGAUGUUAACAAAGUAAUGCUGUAAGUUCAGAUUUUAGAAAAUAAAGUUUGAAUGCGUUGUACCUGA